rnacentral:rRNA from 1 species
AACGAACGCUGGCGGCAGGCCUAACACAUGCAAGUCGAACGCCCCAGCAAUAGGGAGUGGCAGACGGGUGAGUAACGCGUGGGAACGUGCCUUUCGGUUCGGAAUAACUCAGGGAAACUUGAGCUAAUACCGGAUACGCCCUUCGGGGGAAAGAUUUAUUGCCGAAAGAUCGGCCCGCGUCCGAUUAGCUAGUUGGUGAGGUAAAGGCUCACCAAGGCGACGAUCGGUAGCUGGUCUGAGAGGAUGAUCAGCCACACUGGGACUGAGACACGGCCCAGACUCCUACGGGAGGCAGCAGUGGGGAAUAUUGGACAAUGGGCGCAAGCCUGAUCCAGCCAUGCCGCGUGAGUGAUGAAGGCCCUAGGGUUGUAAAGCUCUUUCGCCAGGGACGAUAAUGACGGUACCUGGAUAAGAAGCCCCGGCUAACUUCGUGCCAGCAGCCGCGGUAA